AAUCACUUUCUUCUCCUGAAGGAAGUUUCUGAGCCAGCGGUGAACACACUAAGAACUCCUCAACGUGCUUUUCCAGUCUGCCCUGAGAUGGCGGAUUCUCU
rnacentral:lncRNA from 1 species